UACGUAGGGGGCAAGCGUUGUCCGGAUUUAUUGGGCGUAAAGAGCGUGUAGGCGGCCAGGUAGGUCAGCUGUGAAAACUCGAGGCUCAACCUCGAGACGUCGGUUGAAACCACCUGGCUAGAGUCCGGAAGAGGAGAGUGGAAUUCCUGGUGUAGCGGUGAAAUGCGCAGAGUAUCAGGAGGAACACCGGUGGCGAAGGCGGUUCUCUGGGCAUUACCUGACGCUGAGGAGCGAAAGUGUGGGGAGCGAACAGGA
rnacentral:rRNA from 1 species